rnacentral:lncRNA from 1 species
UUCUGUUCAAAAAGUGCCUUGUGAGCAAAAAAUAUUGAGCUAUCCUCAGGCCUAAGUAAACAGCAUUUUGAAUUUCAUGUUACAAAUUUUAUGCAAGCCAUGCUGACUCCAAAAUGCAGCAAAUAAAAGAAAGUACAGCAUAAAAACAAUCAGUAAAAUACAGUUAUUAGAAGAUAACAGCAUAAAUCAAUGCUAGGUUUUUCAACGAAUGAAAUGGUAGAUUUUUUUUAUUGAGAAGUUUUUUUUUUAAAAAAAGGACAAGUAUUAAGAGUGUAACCAGCUAGCUAAAUUAAGGUCACCCAUUUCCAAGUUAUUAAAAUUGACUUUAGUUCCUUAGGUGGAAGUGGAACCUAGCAUUCGACUGUUUUAGGUGCACAAGUUUGUCAUGAAUCAAAUUAACAUCAGGUUAAUGACCCCAGAAACCUUUUGAACCUGCAAUAUGGCCACACUCAAACUUCAUAUCUAAGAGAUCAAACUAUCUAAACAAUGUAUCUGGACUUUGGAUCUUGUUCAAAUCACUCUAAGAUGAUAAGAAAACCUGUUUCAGUAGGAGUAGUCCUUGCAUUCUUGAAAUAUAAACUUAGAAAUCCACAACAACAUACAGAACAAAUCAUGAAUAAAAUGAAAAAGGAUAUGAACAUUAAAGGAUGGUAGUGGCAUUCAGGUACCAAAUCCUUCCCAAAAUUUCUAAACAAAUGCAAAAUUUUGUAAGAAUUCACUAAGUACUAAUUGAAAACACUGAAUUUGCAAGAAACUACAAAUAUUAAUCUUGAAAAAUGAUUUUUUUAAAUAAUUAAAUAGCACUUUCUUGCUAUUUCUUCCAACAAAGCUACGUAGCUUUGAAAACACUGAAUUUGCAAGAAACUACAAAUAUUAAUCUUGAAAAAUGAUGUUUUUUUAAUAAUUAAAUAGCACUUUCUUGCUAUUUCUUCCAACAAAGCUACGUAGUGGAGACAAUGGACAUUAUUUAUUUCACCGGGUAUGGAGUGAUUAUAUAUUAUGAAGUUACAUAUUGUCCUUAUAGCUGAUUUUCUAAGUUAAUUUUUUAUUGGUAGUUAGCAAACCAGAAUACUCUAGGGUGGCUCAUUUUCUUCGUUUUUAUUUAUUUAUUGAUCUCUUUAUUUGUUUUUCUAAUUUCAACAUAUUUACAAAAGGAAUUUGAAUUUUUUCAGAGCAAAAGUAACUCACCAAGUAUUUUUAAUAACAGUUCCCUUACAAGGCAUGGACACUCUCUUUCACCAGUGGAUUGCAAUCCACAUGAACUGUAUUGCCAAGAAGUUUGAUCCUUCCUCUUAGAACACUUCCUGGUUGAAUGAUAUGAAUCAAGAUUUCCAUGUAUACCCCAGCAUUGAACUCGACCUCACCUACAUAAAAAUUUUUACCUUCUCCAUAGUCCAUUCGACUGUUUUAGGUGCACCAAGUUUGUCAAGAAUCAAAUUGACAUCAGGUUACUGACACGAGAAAACCUUUUGAACCUGCAAUAUGGCCAUACUCAAACUACAUAUCUAAGAGAUCAAACUAUCUAAACAACGUAUUUGAACUUUGGAUCUUGUUCAAAUCACUCUAAGAUGAUAAGACAACCUAUUUCAGUAGGAGUAGCCCUUGCAUUCUUGAAAUAUAAACCUAGAAGUCCACAACAACAUACAGGACAAAUCAUGAAUAAAAUGAAAAAGGAUAUGAACAUUAGAGGAUGGUUGUGGCAUUCAGGUACCAAAUCCUUCCCAAAAUUUCUAAACAAUUGCAAUUUUGAAAACUGCAAAAUUAAUUUUGGAAGAAUUCACUAAAUAAUUGAAAACACUGAAUUUGCAAGAGACUACAAAUACUAAUCUUGACAAAUGAUGUUUUUUGAUAACUAAAUAGCAUUUUCUUGCUAUUUCUUCCAACAGAGCUGCUUAGUGGAGAUAAUGGGCAUUAUUUAUUUCACCGGGUAUGGAGUGGUUAUAUAUAUGUAGUUACAUAUUUUCCUUAUAGCUGAUUUUCUAAGUUAACUUUUUUAUUUGUAAUUAGCAAACCAGAAUACUCUGGGGUGGCUCAUUUUCUUCGUUUUUAUUUAUUCAUUGAUCUCUUUAUUUGUUUUUCUAAUUUCAGUGUGUUUACAAAAGGAAUUUGAAUUUUUUCAGAGCAAAAGUAACUC